rnacentral:sRNA from 1 species
AGCAACAAUUAUUUACCAAUAUUGAGUGUAUUGAGCAACAUUGGAUUGAGUAUCUCAAUUUCUCGGGCCGUGCGGUUUUGUAUAUUCUGAAACUUUUGGUUUGGCUGCAUUCAAUCCAGAGAAGCUGCGUUUUACAUAUACUACCCAGAGGCGAAAAUAGUUAUUGGAGAGUAAACACUCUCCAUAACUACUACUAUUCACGCGCUCAAGAAUGAGUUUCCUAAAAGGCUUCCUCACAGGCCUAACCUUCACAACCGCCACCCUCACCCUCACCGUUCAUCUGCAUCUCGCAAACCGGCAACAGCAGCACCUCCUCCUGCGCGAGCAGAUAGAUUCCAUAAACGCCAUAGCAUUAUUGCCAACCUCCACUGUCGCUACCGAUACCAGCAACAGAAGAGUUUACGCAUCCCACACACGAAAUACGUCAGCCGACGACACCGAUGCCAUCGCAGCCGUCCUGGCGCGGAGGGGAUAUUACCCGCGCGAACGCCCGGGGAUUAUGGAUUUGGCGAAGGAGAGAUGGAAUAGAGAGCUUGAGGGGUG